rnacentral:rRNA from 1 species
GCAGAGCAUCCUACGGGAGGCAGCAGUGGGGAAUAUUGCACAAUGGGCGCAAGCCUGAUGCAGCCAUGCCGCGUGUAUGAAGAAGGCCUUCGGGUUGUAAAGUACUUUCAGCAGUGAGGAAGGUGGGUAUGUUAAUAGCAUACUCAUUUGACGUUAGCUGCAGAAGAAGCACCGGCUAACUCCGUGCCAGCAGCCGCGGUAAUACGGAGGGUGCGAGCGUUAAUCGGAAUUACUGGGCGUAAAGCGCAUGCAGGUGGUUUGUUAAGUCAGAUGUGAAAGCCCGGGGCUCAACCUCGGAAUUGCAUUUGAAACUGGCAAACUAGAGUACUGUAGAGGGGGUAGAAUUUCAGGUGUAGCGGUGAAAUGCGUAGAGAUCUGAAGGAAUACCGGUGGCGAAGGCGGCCCCCUGGACAGAUACUGACACUCAGAUGCGAAAGCGUGGGGAGCAAACAGGAUUAGAUACGCUGGUAG